UGGGGAAUAUUGCACAAUGGGCGCAAGCCUGAUGCAGCCAUGCCGCGUGUAUGAAGAAGGCCUUCGGGUUGUAAAGUACUUUCAGCGGAGGAGGAAGGCGUUAAGGUUAAUAACCUUAUGCUGAUUGACUGUUACCUCGACAAGAAGAAGCCGAACCGGCCUAACUCCGUGCCAGCAGCCGCGGUAAUACGGAGGGUGCAAGCGUUAAUCGGAAUUACUGGGCGUAAAGCGCACGCAGGCGGUCUGUCAAGUCGGAUGUGAAAUCCCCGGGCUCAACCUGGGAACUGCAUUCG
rnacentral:rRNA from 1 species